CCUUGCCAAUUGCAUCUCAGGAAAAGAGCUCAUCCCGAUGGGACCCUCCCUCCUCAAGGCAGAGAGGGCCAUGGAGAACUCUGCACCUCCUCCUCCUCCCUGUGCCGGCCCUUCUUCCCACCGUACCAGUGGGAUCAGGACCAUCG
rnacentral:lncRNA from 11 species